rnacentral:rRNA from 1 species
AUUGAACGCUGGCGGCAGGCCUAACACAUGCAAGUCGAACGAGUGGCGGACGGGUGAGUAAUGUCUGGGAAACUGCCCGAUGGGGGGGGAUCACUACUGGAAACGGUAGCUAAUACCGCAUACCCUCGUAUGUGCCCAGAUGGGAUUAGCUAGGAGGUGGGGUAACGGCUCACCUGGGCGACGCUCCCUCGCUGCUCUGAGAGGAUGACCAGCCACACUGGAACUGAGACACGGUCCAGAAUCCUACGGGAGGCAGCAGUGGGGAAUAUUGCACAAUGGGCGCAAGCCUGAUGCAGCCAUGCCGCGUGUAGGAAGAAGGCCUUCGGGUUGUAAAGCACUUUCAGCGAGGAGGCGUUACUCGCAGAAGAAGCACCGGCUAACUCCGUGCCAGCAGCCGCGGUAAUUC